GGAGUGCCUCUUGCAGUGUGGCUGGUUAUUACGAAGCCUCUCAAAUUUUAUGUUUCUCUAGGGGACCUAGGGGACCAGCAGCCCCACUUCCACAUUUUGUCGUUGGCUGGCCUGGCAGUCCUACCAGCACUAGCCAAGCUUCGGAUGAACUAAGGCGAGGACCCUCAAUGAUCUCACUUUUCCCAGUCUAGAAACUGCGACCGGGUGCCCCGGGGCUGGGGGACUUCCUGCCUCUGGGUCAGCUCGAACGGGUGGAUUACAGUCAGAGGUGCGCGUUUUCCUUGUCGUCAGCUCAAAGAUUUCCUCUGCUGCGCGACCCCACGAAAUGUCACAGCCUUUAUUUUAAAUUCAGGGUUAUACCAGCUGGUGAUUUUGCCACUGGAUAGUUGUGAUUGGUUUUCCCGGGGCGGUUCCGAUCGCAGGCAAGGGAGCUGAUCGACGGCUUCCACUCCGCCCUUCUGGUGACGUCACUCCUUGCAGUUUGUAAUUCUGCUCUGGUGCCUUUUCCAUUCCACUCCAAGCCCAGCUCAGAAGACAUUUCUCAGACAUUAUAUUACAGAAAUAAAAGAGCGAUGCGUGCCAAUAUAACAAAAAUCGAGUAAUGUCAAGUUAUAAGAAUUAAAGAGUGGGGUCGUUUCCUUUCUCCGCCAGAGGACUUUCUGUGCAUUAACAUGUGCACAUGUGCACACGUCUGUAUUGUACUUCAAUGGGCAUACCACCUAUAAAAGAAGUCCUUCACAAUAAAUAAAUAAUGCUCCGAGAGAACUGAGACUCCUCUCCGACGCUGGUUUUGCGUGGUAAGAAAUGAGGUGUGUAGAGAUAAUUACCUGCUGAUCCUGAAGGUCCGCGAUUCUUCUAAAAGACAGGCUAUCAACAUUUACACUGAAGGAGAAGAACGUGUAACAGCAAAUCCCACUACUUAAAGCUUCUUCGUUUAAACAACACACACACACACACACACACACCUCCAAGAAUAUUACAAUUUAUUUUACAAACAUUCUUUUCACUAACUUUCACUUUUUUCCCCAUUAGAGUGUGAGAGCUCCUUGCUCACAGGGGAACAGCAGGUUCUGUUUCUGUUACGAAGCUGAUCAAUGAACACUUUUUGAUUGAAUGACUGCCUGAGUGAAUCUUACUGAAGUUUCUAGGAUCAACAUUUUCCUGUUAUUGCUGCUUGUUUAAAAUAUUUUGCUUUUGUUAUUUUCUGAUUGUCAACCUCUGAGAGUAGUGGUAGGCGGGUCUUCCUUUGAUCUGACUUGAUAUCCAAACACAUAAUUAACUCGCUGCUUACUAGUUCACAGUGAUAUAUAACAUUUAUCAGCUUUUAAUUUACUGAAACGCAAACACGGGAUUG
rnacentral:lncRNA from 1 species